GGCCCCAUGGUCUAGUGGUCAGGACAUUGAAUUCUGAAUCGAGUUCAAAUCUCGGUGGGACCU
rnacentral:tRNA from 1 species